ACGGAGGUUGCAAGCGUUGUUCGGAAUGACUGGGCGUAAAGGGAGCGCAGGCGGUUUGAUAAGUCUGGAGUGAAAGCCCGGGGCUCAACCCCGGCGGGUCUUUGGAUACUGUCAAGCUAGAGUACGGAAGAGGAGAGUGGGAUUCCAGGUGUAGCGGUGAAAUGCGUAGAUAUCUGGAGGAACACCGGUGGCGAAAGCGGCUCUCUGGACCGCACCUGACGCUCAGAUGCGAAAGCUAGGGUAGCAAACGG
rnacentral:rRNA from 1 species